UACGAAGGGUGCAAGCGUUACUCGGAAUUACUGGGCGUAAAGCGUGCGUAGGUGGUUUGUUAAGUCUGUUGUGAAAGCCCUGGGCUCAACCUGGGAAUGGCAAUGGAUACUGGCAGGCUAGAGUGCGGUAGAGGGUAGUGGAAUUCCCGGUGUAGCGGUGAAAUGCGUAGAGAUCGGGAGGAACACCAGUGGCGAAGGCGGCUACCUGGACCAGCACUGACACUGAGGCACGAAAGCGUGGGGAGCAAACAGG
rnacentral:rRNA from 1 species